UACGGGGGGGGCAAGCGUUGUUCGGAAUUACUGGGCGUAAAGGGUUCGUAGGUGGCUUGCUAAGUCAGACGUGAAAUCCCUCAGCUUAACUGGGGAACUGCGUCUGAGACUGGUGAGCUUGAGUGCAGGAGAGGAACGCGGAAUUCCAGGUGUAGCGGUGAAAUGCGUAGAUAUCUGGAGGAACACCGGUGGCGAAGGCGGCUCGCUGGACCGCAACUGACGCUGAGGAACGAAAGCUAGGGGAGCAAACAGG
rnacentral:rRNA from 1 species